rnacentral:tRNA from 1 species
ACUUAAAUAGCUUAUAAAGAGCAUAGUAUUGAAGAUACUAAGGAGAUUAAAUUAAUCUUUAGGUA